CGUGUAGGCGGCCUUUUAAGUCUGAUGUGAAAGCCCGGGGCUUACCCCCGGAAGUGCAUUGGAGACUGGGAGGCUCGAGUACCGGAGAGGAGGGUGGAAUUCCUGGUGUAGCGGUGAAAUGCGUAGAUAUCAGGAGGAACACCGGUGGCGAAGGCGGCCCUCUGGACGGAUACUGACGCUGAGACGCGAAAGCGUGGGGAGCAAACAGGAUUAGAUACCCUGGUAGUCCACGCUGUAAACGAUGGGCACUAGGUGUUCGGGGUAUUGACCCCCUGAGUGCCGCAGCUAACGCAUUAAGUGCCCCGCCUGGGGACUACGGCCGCAAGGUUAAA
rnacentral:rRNA from 1 species